rnacentral:lncRNA from 1 species
UAAAGAAAAAUUAAUCCGAAUCCGAACUCCACUAUCAAAUCCAAAACUUGAACCCUAACCUGAAUCUUUAAAAACUAGUAUCCAAAUCUGAAUCUGACUAAAAAUCCGAAAUCCAAACCCAAACUCAAAACAAUUAUUUUUAUUAUUUCAAAACAUAUUACAUUAGAUCUAAAUUUUUAAAUUACAAAUUCAAAUAUAACGCCAAACGUUUUGCUUUUUUUCCCUGUCCGAAAAUAUCUCUAUUUUUUCAGAAUUUUCAU